rnacentral:rRNA from 1 species
AUCAGAAAUAUCUUUUUUAUUGGUAAUUUUAUUGACCUUAUUAUUUUAUUAGUUAUAGCUUAUUUUACUGUGAAGGAUUUAUUUUUAUUUUAUUAAAAGCAUACUUUUUUUGUAUUACCUUUUGUAUCAGGGUUUAUCAAUUUUAUAUUAAUUAUUUAAUUUUCCCGAAAUUAAAAGAGAUAUAUUAUAGUGAUUUUUUAUGUUUCAUAAUAAUUUUUAAUUUUAAUAUAGGGGUUAUAUGCUAUUCAAUUUUAAAUAUCUGGUUUUCUAAUACAUUAAUUUAAUUAAGAUUAACAUUUAUAGGUUGAUAUAUAAAUUUAUUUUAUUCAAUUUUGUUAAUUAAGUUUAUAGGGGAUAAGCUCUAUUGAAUAUUUUAUAAUAAUAAUUUUUAAUUUAAGGAUUAUUAGGCUUGAUAACAGCCAUUAUUUAUUUCGUUUCAGUUAAUUCUUAUUUAUUUUUUAUUUAUUUUUUAUUUAAGAUUUUAUUAGAAUUUUGUGUUUAUUUAUUUAUUACAAGUAAUAAUGAUAGAAUUAGUAGUUUAGUAAUUCUGAAUUUAGGAAUUCGGCAAUUUUAAUUUUCGCCUGUUUAACAAAAACAUGUCCUAUAGUUUUAUUUAUUUUAGGUCGGGCCUGCCCAGUGAUUAUUUUUAAACGGCCGCAGUAUUUUGACUGUGCGAAGGUAGCAUAAUCAUUUGUCUUUUAAUUGAAGGCUAGUAUGAAAGGUUUGACGAGAAAUUAACUUUCUUAAUUCAGAUUUUAUGAAUUUGAUUUUUUAGUUAAAAAGCUUAAAUUAUUUUGCUAGACGAGAAGACCCUGUAGAAUUUUAUUUAUUUAUUUUUUAUUUAUUUUUUGGGUAAUAUUUAUUUUUUAUUUAUUGAUAAAUUUUGUUGGGGCGAUAUUGAAAUUUAUUCAACUUUCAUUUAUUUUAUUUCAUUAAUUAGUGUAUUUUUUGAUCCUCAUUUUGUGAUUGACAGAUUAAAUUACCUCAGGGAUAACAGCGUAAUUUUCUUGGAGAGUUCUUAUCGAUAAGGGAGUUUGCGACCUCGAUGUUGGAUUAAAGUUAUCUUUUGGCGCAGAAGCUAAAAUGUUGAGUCUGUUCGACUUUUAAUUCUUUACAUGAUCUGAGUUCAGACCGGCGUGAGCCAGGUUGGUUUCUAUCUGCAAUUAUUAUAUUAUAUUUUAGUACGAGAGGACCAUAUAUAAGUAAUAUUUAUUUUUAUUUGAUUACUAUUA